CCUUGAAAAUAUAAUUGAACAAAAUUUUAAUUUCAAAUAAAUUAAUUAUAUCGAAUUAAGUUAUGAACAUUUAUGAAUUUAUAAACAUUUGUAGAAGCAAAAAUAUAUAGUAAAAUAUCUAAAAUAAAAUAUUUAUUAUAUUAUUUAAUGAAUAAAACAAAUUUCUAAUAAAAUUUUAUUUCUUUUUAUAUUAGAAAAAUAUCAAUUUAUGACACAUAAAUAUCCGCAAUCUAAUCACAAACAAUUGAAUUUUCCACUGUUUUAUUCAAUUGUUAAACGAGAUUUAUGAUCCAAAGACGACGAGACGACACUAUCAAAAAUACAUAUAGAUAAAUUAUAAACGAGAACGUGAUAAUAAUUUAUAAAGAGAUCGAAAUAUUAUAUAUUGUGUUAUAGAUAAAUAAAAUUGAAAAUAUUAAAAUACAAAUAAUUUUUAUCAUUGUGAAAAAUGUAUUUUAUUUUUUUAUGAAAAAUAUAUACAAAUAAUAUUGUAUAUAUAUAUAUAUAUAUAUAUAAUAGUUUCAAAAAUAUUUACACAAUAUUGUACUUAUUAUAACAUUUAUUUCAUUAAAUCCAAAUGUAAAAAUUUCGAAUUAUUUAGUAGUAUUUUUAUAAAAAUAAAAAUCAUGAAAAUGAAAUGUUAAUUUUGAUAAAAAAUCUUAUUGAAAAUAAAUUCAUAAUUAUAUAUAAUUAUAUUAAAAUAAUAUUGUAAAUACUUUUUGUAAUCAUUAUAUGUAUACUCUUAUACUCUUCAUCUUACUAUUUCAAUACUUCAUUUUAUCUUGAUAGCACAUGUCUUGAUAGUCACAUGUGUUUAAAGACGCAUGUGGUAAUAAUAUAUUCACCUGUAUCGAAGUUGAUUGCUCUGAAUGCAUUUGAAAACUGGGUUACCUCGGUACUAAAUUUUCUAGUUCGUUGUCAUGUGUGUAGAUGUCAAGGUUUGAUGAGUGAUAAAUUCCUAAGUGUUAGUCUUGCAAAGUUUAUUUUCAAUUAAAAAAAAAAAAGAAAAAAAAAAAAGAAAAAGAAAUUAUAUAUUUCGAACAAAUUAAUUAAUGAACGACAAAAUUAAUUUUAUUUAUUUUUAAAUCAUUGAUGCCUAAUAAUUAGUUCAGAAAAGGGUUAAGGAACGAAUUUGCUUAUAGCAAUGAGAACAGCAGUUUCGAUGCGCAGGUCCGAAAUAUCGACACGAAGUUACAUCAUACAAAGUUACUAUGGAUGGAACUGCUAUCACGAGCCAUACAAGUCGCGUCCACACAAACUUAACACCACGUGCUCGUAACAGCAUGUUUAUACUGAUGAAAUACGCUCUUAGAAUCAAUAAUUUGAAGUUUCAAGUUAAAAUGAAUUUGAAGCAUGAAUUGCAAAUUUUUUCAAAAAAUAUGUAGAUAACCUUUGUUGAUCUAACCUUAACAUCGGUUAAUGUUAUUUAUGUUAUUUAUGUUAUUUAUGUAAAACUCAUAAAUUCACACUAGAAUGGUUAGAUUUAAAAUAACGGAAAAGAGAAUUCAUGGUAUUGUAAUACCGUUCUCUUCUUUGAAUUUUGUAUAUACUUAAAUACUACCACGAAUAUAAGAGAAUUUACAGUAAAUAUAUAAUAGCUAAAUGUAGCUAAAUGCGCGCGAAAAUCUUCUUAAAAUGUAUGCUGAUGUUUGGAACUUAACAAUAAAGAGAAUUUAAUAGAAUUUUAAA